rnacentral:rRNA from 1 species
UACGGAAGGCAGCAGUGGGGAAUAUUGCACAAUGGGCGCAAGCCUGAUGCAGCCAUGCCGCGUGUAUGAAGAAGGCCUUCGGGUUGUAAAGUACUUUCAGUCGUGAGGAAGGUGUUAAGGUUAAUAACCUUAGCAAUUGACGUUAGCGACAGAAGAAGCACCGGCUAACUCCGUGCCAGCAGCCGCGGUAAUACGGAGGGUGCGAGCGUUAAUCGGAAUUACUGGGCGUAAAGGGCACGCAGGCGGUUAAUUAAGUUGGAUGUGAAAUCCCCGGGCUUAACCUGGGAAUGGCAUUCAAGACUGGUUAGCUAGAGUCUUGUAGAGGGGGUAGAAUUCCAUGUGUAGCGGUGAAAUGCGUAGAGAUGUGGAGGAAUACCGGUGGCGAAGGCGGCCCCUGGACAAAGACUGACGCUCAUGUGCGAAAGCGUGGGGAGCGAAAACAGGAUUAGAUACC